UGCCCAGCAACUCCUAUCCCUACCUCCUCGCGGUACUGGCCGGGGUACGAGUAACCUUAGGGAAGAUCGGGUAACCAAGGGGGGGGG
rnacentral:ribozyme from 1 species